GGAAACAAAAGCUAGAACUUCUGAGGCUCCAUUUUUCUCAGGGACGGUUGACUGGGGGCUCCGUACGCCAAGCACUUCUGAUAAGCUUCUAGAAAAACUCCAUAGCAUCUAUGUCCUUCUGAGCAGCACUUUACUACACACUGGGGUGUGGGGGGAAAUAGCAAGGGUGAGUUCAUGUCGAACUCAGCAAGCACAGACGAAAAGUAAUGACAUGCAAGGCUUAAAACAAGGUAAAACUGGCUUGGUUUGACUGCGGUAGCAUUUUAGUUGAUCUCUUUUAAUUAUGACAAUUAUUAGAACAACCUAUUACUAAAUAUGAGUAGCAUAAACCCAACCCUUAAUUAGUGUAGGUAGCAAUUAGCAUGUUUUAAAAGACUAUCCUAAUUAUUAUAGUAAUCCAGGGAUUAACCCCAAUUAUUAACACAGGAUAGCAAUCCUGCCAACACGGAAUAGCCAUUCCGCCAAAACACGAGGUAGCAACCUCGCCAAGUUCCAUCUCCAAGUAACCAGUGAAUCCAAUUUGCUCAUCAAGUGAGGGUCUGGGCCGCUCGUGACCGUGAGCACGGCUGAUAUAUCAGUUUUACACUCUGCAGAGGUGUGCACGUUCACUCCAAGUCGUGAUUCCCAUUUGCCCGGGGUCGCGACUCCCCAAAACACUUCCAAGGUGAGCAGGCAGGGUUUCACUACGAGACCUUUCACAGGGUCCAACUAAUAGGAUGCCACUCGUAAGUUUUUGCCGGGGCGCGCGGCAGUCGUGCCCAUAGCAAUGGGACCCCGAACUGACCGACCUCUUAAUAUGAAUACCCAAGCUACAUUCCUUACGCCUACCCGGAAAGUAACACCCUACCAGUGGAGGUCCUGCUAAUUAGUCAAGCCAGAGCCCAUAUAGCUUGGAGCUGCACUGUAAGUCCCAGGGGGCCGCUCCCUGACUAAGUCCUUACGGAGAGCAGAGACGGGUACGCCCGGCAAACCGGACCACCAACGGUACCCGCUCCCCCUUUCACCACCAUCAUCACGAUGCUCGUAAGCAUCCAUCAUCGCCAUCACCACAGUGACCAAAGGUUCAGCACAAUUUAAGCAUCAAGUUGAAUAGAGAGUAAUUCUUGUUUGAACAUGUGUAUAAGAUGAGUAGGGCAGCUAAGCAAACCUAGUAUGGCCUAGUCUACCCAUAUACAUAACCCCAGGUGAACAAGGAAUAGUAAGUAAAGCUAGUCAUGUCCUUAGGGUUUUGCAUUCAUUGGACACAUGCAUAUAAAGUAAAUGACAUUAAUGAGUAGGUUCAAAAUGAUCAAACGGUGUCUGCACUUGCCUUAAUUCCCAGUGUUUAACUGCUCAGAAAUCUUUGACUUCCUUCUUCUGAUCUCCAACUUCUGCUUCGACUGUCGGUCCUCAGCUCCUGGUCUUCACUAUUGACGAACCACGCUUCUUCUACUCGUAGCAACCAAGCAACACAAACAGACAAACAAACAAUCAUGACUAAGAACAAGCAUCAAUCAAAAGAAAAGCUUAGAAAGAGCGCACUAAACGACACGACUUAUUGCUACGAUCGUGACAACGCAAGAACGAUUGAGAACGGAGCUAUCGUUAAACGGACACAACUUUCGAGGUUCGUAGUGUAACGGAGA
rnacentral:lncRNA from 1 species